UCUGGAUGACAUAUCUGAUAUAAAGAGCAUUUUAAAAAUACCAACUAGAAAACAAUUGGCUAGUCAAUUUGGAACUGAAAACAUUCAGUAUGGUGAAUAUCCACCUGAUAUGCAACAAGUUUUGGGAGCAGCAAUUAAUUUGGAAGAGCUGCAAACGAAAGUAAGAUACUUAGAAAUUUGUCAUUAAUAAUGGGAGUAUAUAGCCUUAUUAUAAAUUAAUU